GCCUGGGUGGCUCAGUCGGUUGAGCGUCCGACUUCAGCUCAGGUCAUGAUCUCGCGGUCCGUGGGUUCGAGCCCCGCGUUGGGCU
rnacentral:tRNA from 1 species